CAUGGCGUGUCAUUUGGUCAGCCAUUGGUAAAAUGUCAAUCCAACAUUUCUAAACCUUUCCCACAAAAUAUGGUAUCUGUUGAACUUGUUACUUCUGGACUUGGAGCCUGGACUUCUAAUACUAAUCCUGGAGGUAUGAGUACUCAAAAUGGUAGCAUGUUGAUGGACAUGUUACAUCAUCAGCAACAACCACAGCAGCAGUCAUUAUCAGAGCCCAGCCGUUCAAUUAAUGUACAGCCAUCUUGCCUGGUGGUCCCUUCUCAGUCAUCAGCCAGUUUUCAGGCAGGAAAUAGUCCUGCUUCAGUCAAUCAGAGUUGCAACUUUAACAGGAAUGCUGUCAUUGAUUAUAGCCUUCUGUCAUCUCAGUCAAAUAAUUCUUCAUUGAAUAUUGGGCACAUGCCAGAUGGGAAUCUAAAAACUACAGUUGUUGUUAAUGGGUACUCAGCCCCUGGUUCCAUAUCUCCUUCUGCAUCAUCAUGUUCUGUCAAUGCUGACAGUGGCAUCACUCGUCAAGUUCAAAAUUCAGCCAUUACCUUUGGAGCUGCUAGACAUUUACCAGGGCUUGAUUCAAAUAUUUGUGACAUCCUGUGUUCUUAUGGUGCAAAGUCAGGUGAAGUUCUUGAUCAAGGGCCACUUAGGAACCUUGGAUUUGUUGGUAAGGGGACUCGCCUUCCAAGCCGAUUUGCAGUGGAAGAAUUUGAGGCACCAAUUAAUAACUUAAGCCACGGGAAAAUUUAUGUGGAGAAUAGUGGCAGUAAAGUGAAGCAGGAGCCAAAUAUGGAAUACUUAGAUGUUGCGAGAGUGGGCAUUCCAGUAUUGCAGCAAUUUCCUCCAAAUGAUCUCAUGAGUGUCUUCACAGAAUAGGCUUUAUUUGUUUGGUGGAUUCAGGGGGGGAAGUUGCUAAUUGUCGUGGAAAGUACAGAUUAUUUGGUAUCAGAAGGGAUUCAAUUAGAUGUUUAUUAUGGACUUGAUUUCCGGUGCUUGCACUGUUUUCAGGCGAGCUGUGGAGCCUCCUCAGUAUUUACAGCAUUGAGAGGAAAAAUUGUACCUGUUAUUAUGAGUAAUUUCCGUUGAAGUGCUGGGGCCAAGCUCUACAUGUAUCAAGUAGUAUUUCCUUUGCUUUUCUUUUCUUUUCUUAAGUCCGUAGGAAAAAUAAGUUCCGUUAGAUUUCAACAGCUUGAAAUGAAGUCACAUAUGAUGGCAUCUUGCUUAUCGGUAGUUGUGUAGUUAUUUGGGUUCAAUGACGAUGAAAUGCUAAUGUGUUUAUAUUAUGCAAUUCAUUCACGAAGUGCAG
rnacentral:misc_RNA from 1 species